GCAUAGGUGUUCAGCGGUAGAAUCCCUGCCUUCCACGUAGGAGACCCAGGUUCGACCCCCGGCCAGUGCG
rnacentral:tRNA from 1 species